AGAGUUUGAUCCUGGCUCAGAACGAACGCUGGCGGCAGGCUUAACACAUGCAAGUCGAGCGCUGUAGCAAUACAGAGCGGCGCACGGGUGAGUAACACGUGGGAACAUGCCUUUCGGUUCGGAAUAACUCAGGGGAAACUUGUGCUAAUACCGGAUACGCCCUUACGGGGAAAGAUUUAUUGCCGAAAGAGUGGCCCGCGUUGGAUUAGCUAGUUGGCGGGGUAAAAGCCCACCAAGGCGACGAUCCAUAGCUGGUCUGAGAGGACGACCAGCCACACUGGGACUGAGACACGGCCCAGACUCCUACGGGAGGCAGCAGUGGGGAAUCUUGGACAAUGGGGGAAACCCUGAUCCAGCCAUGCCGCGUGAGUGAUGAAGGCCCUAGGGUUGUAAAACUCUUUCGGCGGGGACGAUAAUGACGGUACCCGCAGAAGAAGCUCCGGCUANCUUCGUGCCAGCAGCCGCGGUAAUACGAAGGGGGCUAGCGUUGUUCGGAAUUACUGGGCGUAAAGCGCGCGCAGGCGGUCCUUUAAGUCAGGGGUGAAAGCCCAGAGCUCGACUCUGGAACUGGNNUUUGAAACUACGANGACUUGGGUNACGGGANAGGUGAGUGGAAUUCCCGAGUGUAGAGGUGAAAUUCCGUAGNAUNUUCGGGAANAACGNCCNGUGGCGANGGCGGGGUCACUGG
rnacentral:rRNA from 1 species